GUUGAUAAAUCUCGACCAGCAAGAGGACAAGGCGAAACCCCAAUGACCAAUGCCCAAUGCCCAAUCUCCAAUCCACAAUCCCCGAUCCCCACUCAAUCCAAUCCAAUACAGUCCCCCGGAUGCCAAUAUAUAUUACGACAGGGGGACUCUCACUGGCCAUUUGUUUGGCAUCCCAUCGCGAGACGAAACUAAUAAAAAUCAUAAAAAGUUUUCCGCUUAGCGUUGCCAUUAAGAUGCCUGCCCGCCCCUCGAAGAUUGUUAUUAUUAUUAGUAUUAUUUGAGUGUGCCUCAGCUCUGUCCUUGGCUCACUUACACUUUCACUUUCUUCCACACGCACUUUCACCUACCCGCGCGAUAAUGUUGCCACACUGAAAAUUAACUUAACUACUUACUGAAGAUGGGAAAUUUUAGGAGCCAACUUUGGGAUCGUUUUCACCGUCGAAAAGUUGCGUCAUGUUUACGAUUCGCCUGUAUUUGCAAAUACAGUCAUGGUCAAAAUUAUUUUCACAAAGUGCAUUUUUGUGCAUGGGUCACAAACAGUUGCUUGUGCAGCAAGUGGGGGGAGGUGAAAUGCAAAAAAACUUUUGCUUUUGCAAAUUCAAACCUAUGCAGAGUCAGAUGAAAGAAGAAUUGAAAAAAUAACUGUUCCUAUGCGCAAGGAAGAGGCAAAUGAAGAGAUCUUUAUCAGUUGUCAGAAGUAUUUGCACACGGUUUCGUCGCAUCACAAUUAUUUUCACAACGCAAUUUCUUCUUCAGUGAUUGGUUUAGAGUGACAAGUGCCGUUAUUAAAUAAAAUGCCCAAAACAAAAGAGUUAACAGUUGAGGCCCGGGCUGGUAUUGUUGCUAGGUUUAAAGCCGGUACACCUGCGGCCAAAAUAGCUGAAAUAUAUUAAAUUUCGCGUAGAACUGUCUACUACUUAAUAAAAAAGUUUGAUACAGUUGGCACAUUAAAAAAUAAAAAAAGAUCAGGCCGAAAACCUGUGCUGGACCAAAGGCAAUGCAGGCAAAUACUUGGAGUUGUGGCGAAGAAUCCUAGUGCCAGUCCGGUAAAAAUUGCCUUAGAAUCAAAAAAUACAAUUGGCAAACAAGUUAGUAGUUCUACAAUUCGUCGCAGGCUAAAAGAAGCUGAUUUUAAGACAUACGUUGUUCGCAAAACGAUUGAGAUCACACCAACCAACAAAACAAAACGUCUUCGAUUUGCGUUGGAAUAUGUUAAGAAGCCUCUUGACUUUUUGUUUAAUAUUUUAUGGACUGAUGAGUCUGCAUUUCAGUACCAGGGGUCAUACAGCAAGCAUUUUAUGCAUUUGAAAAAUAAUCAAAAGCAUUUGGCAGCCCAGCCAACCAAUAGAUUUGGUGGGGGCACAGUCAUGUUUUGGGGAUGUCUUUCCUAUUAUGGAUUCGGAGACUUGGUACCGAUAGAAGGAACUUUAAAUCAGAACGGAUACCUUCUUAUCUUAAACAACCAUGCUUUUACGUCUGGAAAUAGACUUUUUCCAACUACUGAAUGGAUUCUUCAGCAGGACAAUGCUCCAUGCCAUAAGGGUAGGAUACCAACAAAAUUUUUAAACGACCUUAAUCUGGCGGUUCUUCCGUGGCCCCCCCAAAGCCCAGACCUUAAUAUCAUUGAAAACGUUUGGGCUUUUAUUAAAAACCAACGAACUAUUGAUAAAAAUAGAAAACGAGAGGGAGCCAUCAUUGAAAUAGCGGAGAUUUGGUCCAAAUUGACAUUAGAAUUUGCACAAACUUUGGUAAGGUCAAUACCAAAAAGACUUCAAGCAGUUAUUGAUGCCAAAGGUGGUGUUACAAAAUAUUAGUAUUGUAUUUAUAUAAAAUAAAGAAAUUCUUAUGUUGAAAUUAGAUGUUAAGCUGAAAUUUACUAAAUUAAGUUGAGUGAAAAUACUUUUGAAGCGCAAUAAACAUGUGAAAAUACUAUUGACAA